rnacentral:rRNA from 1 species
UACGAAGGGGGCUAGCGUUGCUCGGAAUCACUGGGCGUAAAGCGCACGUAGGCGGAUUGCUAAGUCAGGGGUGAAAUCCUGGAGCUCAACUCCAGAACUGCCCUUGAUACUGGCGGUCUCGAGUCCGGGAGAGGUGAGUGGAACUGCGAGUGUAGAGGUGAAAUUCGUAGAUAUUCGCAAGAACACCAGUGGCGAAGGCGGCUCACUGGCCCGGUACUGACGCUGAGGUGGCGAAAGCGUGGGGAGCAAACAGG